GAUGAACGCUGGCGGCGUGCCUAAUACAUGCAAGUCGAGCGAACAGGCGAGGAGCUUGCUCCUCUGACGUUAGCGGCGGAUGGGUGAGUAACACGUGGAUAACCUACCUAUAAGACUGGGAUAACUUCGGGAAACCGGAGCUAAUACCGGAUAACAUGUUGAACCGCAUGGUUCAACAGUGAAAGACGGUCUUGCUGUCACUUAUAGAUGGAUCCGCGCCGCAUUAGCUAGUUGGUAAGGUAACGGCUUACCAAGGCAACGAUGCGUAGCCGACCUGAGAGGGUGAUCGGCCACACUGGAACUGAGACACGGUCCAGACUCCUACGGGAGGCAGCAGUAGGGAAUCUUCCGCAAUGGGCGAAAGCCUGACGGAGCAACGCCGCGUGAGUGAAGAAGGUCUUCGGAUCGUAAAACUCUGUUAUUAGGGAAGAACAAAUGUGUAAGUAACUAUGCACGUCUUGACGGUACCUAAUCAGAAAGCCACGGCUAACUACGUG
rnacentral:rRNA from 1 species